AAAUAUUAAGUGUAUGUUGGAGUAGCUUAGGAAGGAGAGGUUUGUUACAGGUAGGCAGCUGUAUAAUUAUAAAACCAACAAGUCAGUAAAUUAGCUUAUGUAAGCUUUGAAUUUCAGUGAGAUUUUAACUAAAGGAUUCGUCCGAGUAGUAGGCAUAUUGUGAGGGACAUAAACUGUGACACUUGGUUGUCUGAAUUCUAAACAUAUUACACUUUGUGCUCUUUAUCCAAACAUACUUUAGAGUUGCUCAAUGCUUUAACAUGGAACAUCUUAGCAACCUUAGAGAAGGUUUUGUUCUAUUCUUUCUUUUAAGUAUUCUUAGGUUGACUUAGAUUCCAUACCAAAAUAAUUUUCAAUUAAAUUUCAACUUACAGGUGUUCAGGUAUUCAUCCAGGCUUUAGAACAACUAAUUGAAGCUAAUCCUUUAGAAAAUAUGUCCUCAGACCAGUUAAUGUGGUUGUAUUCAAGCCAUGAUCUUGAGCAAAAGGUACCGCACUCUCGUAGGCUCUUGGAUUGAACCUUUCCAAGAAGAAGCUGAACUUGGAUAUGAGAUUGAUUAUGUGGCCAGCUCCUAAUUGUGCAUUACAAGUUUACAACAAUGUCUCCAUCAAUGGAUCUCCUUGUUUGUCCAUUUACUUAGUGAAUUUGUUGUAUUCCAAUGCUCCUGUUGCUAUUUUCUUUUCAAUAAAUAAAGAAAACUUUAGGGGUAUUUGGCAAUUCUUUAUAAAUAAUUUGCUUGAAUUUUUGUGGCUGUGUUGUGAAUAUUCUGCAACAAAAUAAUCAUCUCUAAAUUAUGAUC